rnacentral:pre_miRNA from 1 species
AGUGCAAUUGCUGGGCUAUACAGAAAGUGUAUGUUGAUUUUAUAUGAAAUUUCCAAGCUAUUUUCCAAAAUGUUUUUUUUAUCUUGUAUUCCCAUUAGCAAU